UCCUCAAGGGCAGGGAGGCCACUGGGAAAAGGAAGUGGGAGCGAGGACUCAGAUCCUUUCGCUAGCCCACUUCACCGGCGUAGUGCAAAAACUAGGAAAGUUCCCUACAUGAGCAGGACUAUUCCCCCACUUACAUAAUGGUAGAUGUGUAGUUCUCAGCUCUUGGAAGGAAGUUCAUUGACCGUUGUGGAGAGGUGGACUGUCUGGGGCUCAGCCAGAGCACUGAGUCUCUUAUGACUGGACUGAUGUGGUGGAACACAAGGACAAAGCAGAGUAGAGGCCUGGGUGAAUUGUGGGGGCUGAACCUAGGGGAGAGUGGACUGUUUGAGGACCAAAUGCUAA